GGCUUCGGCCUGGGGCAGAGCCGCGAACGGGUGAGUAACACGUGGGUAACGUGCCCCAAUGAUCGGGACAACCCGGGGAAACCCGGGCUAAUACCGAAUGUGCUCCCCUCACAUCAGUGAGGGGUGAAAAGGAAGCUUCGGCCUCCGCAUUGGGAUCGGCCCGCGGCCCAUUAGCUUGUUGGUGAGGUAACGGCUCACCAAGGCUGCGAUGGGUAGCUGGUCUGAGAGGACGAUCAGCCACACUGGGACUGAGACACGGCCCAGACUCCUACGGGAGGCAGCAGUGGGGAAUCUUGCGCAAUGCGCGAAAGCGUGACGCAGCAACGCCGCGUGGGGGAAGACGGCCUUCGGGUUGUAAACCCCUUUCAGGAGGGACGAAGCCCGGGCGGUUAAUAGCCGACUCGGGUGACGGUACCUCCAGAAGAAGCCCCGGCUAACUACGUGCCAGCAGCCGCGGUAAUACGUAGGGGGCAAGCGUUGUCCGGAAUCAUUGGGCGUAAAGAGCGUGUAGGCGGUCCGGUAAGUCGGCUGUGAAAGUCCAGGGCUCAACCCUGGGAUGCCGGUCGAUACUGCCGGACUAGAGUUCGGAAGAGGCGAGUGGAAUUCCCGGUGUAGCGGUGAAAUGCGCAGAUAUCGGGAGGAACACCAAUGGCGAAGGCAGCUCGCUGGGACGUUACUGACGCUGAGACGCGAAAGCGUGGGGAGCAAAC
rnacentral:rRNA from 1 species